GUAUUGAUUGCGUGUCAUCGCAAAAAAAAGACAUUCUACACUGCUUCGAGUUUGUGUGAAAACGCAAGCCCCCCCUCGGAACAAGCCAAAGAGGGGACCGGCGCGGUGGUGCACAAAAGGGUGAGAUGGAUUUUUAUGUGAGAGGACACACUCUGGCGUGCACGACUCUUGUGGUAAAAGUCAGCGACAGCCCUCGCAUGCCUCACACAUUUUGUACGAUAAUGAUCCUUCCGCAGGUUCACCUACGGAAA
rnacentral:misc_RNA from 1 species